GCGGUUGUAGUGUAGUGGCUAUCACUCGAGCCUGCCACGCUCGCGACCCGGGUUCGAAUCCCGGCAACCGCA
rnacentral:tRNA from 1 species